rnacentral:rRNA from 1 species
UUAAAUUGAAGAGUUUGAUCAUGGCUCAGAUUGAACGCUGGCGGCAGGCCUAACACAUGCAAGUCGAACGGUAACAGGAAGCAGCUUGCUGCUUUGCUGACGAGUGGCGGACGGGUGAGUAAUGUCUGGGAAACUGCCCGAUGGAGGGGGAUAACUACUGGAAACGGUGGCUAAUACCGCAUAACGUCGCAAGACCAAAGAGGGGGACCUUCGGGCCUCUUGCCAUCAGAUGUGCCCAGAUGGGAUUAGCUUGUUGGUGAGGUAACGGCUCACCAAGGCGACGAUCCCUAGCUGGUCUGAGAGGAUGACCAGCCACACUGGAACUGAGACACGGUCCAGACUCCUACGGGAGGCAGCAGUGGGGAAUAUUGCACAAUGGGCGCAAGCCUGAUGCAGCCAUGCCGCGUGUAUGAAGAAGGCCUU